rnacentral:rRNA from 1 species
UACGGGGGGGGCAAGCGUUGUUCGGAAUUACUGGGCGUAAAGGGUUCGUAGGCGGCCAACUCAGUCAGACGUGAAAUCCCUCAGCUCAACUGGGGAACUGCGUCUGAUACUAGAUGGCUCGAGUGCAGGAGAGGAACGCGGAAUUCCAGGUGUAGCGGUGAAAUGCGUAGAGAUGUGGAGGAACACCGAUGGCGAAGGCAGCCUUCUGGGCCAAUACUGACGCUCAUGCACGAAAGCGUGGGGAGCAAACAGG